CCUACGGGUGGCAGCAGUGAGGAAUAUUGGUCAAUGGACGAGAGUCUGAACCAGCCAAGUAGCGUGAAGGAUGACUGCCCUUUGGGUUGUAAACUUCUUUUAUAUGGGAAUAAAACGUUCCACGUGUGGGAUUUUGUAUGUACCAUAUGAAUAAGGAUCGGCUAACUCCGUGCCAGCAGCCGCGGUAAUACGGAGGAUCCGAGCGUUAUCCGGAUUUAUUGGGUUUAAAGGGAGCGUAGGUGGAUUGUUAAGUCAGUUGUGAAAGUUUGCGGCUCAACCGUAAAAUUGCAGUUGAAACUGGCAGUCUUGAGUACAGUAGAGGUGGGCGGAAUUCGUGGUGUAGCGGUGAAAUGCUUAGAUAUCACGAAGAACUCCGAUUGCGAAGGCAGUUCACUGGACUGCAACUGACACUGAGGCUCGAAAGUGUGGGUAUCAAACAGGAUUAGAUACCCUUGUAGUC
rnacentral:rRNA from 1 species